GACGAACGCUGGCGGCGUGCUUAACACAUGCAAGUCGAACGGAAAGGCCCUGCUUUUGUGGGGUGCUCGAGUGGCGAACGGGUGAGUAACACGUGAGUAACCUGCCCUUGACUUUGGGAUAACUUCAGGAAACUGGGGCUAAUACCGGAUAGGAGCUCCUGCUGCAUGGUGGGGGUUGGAAAGUUUCGGCGGUUGGGGAUGGACUCGCGGCUUAUCAGCUUGUUGGUGGGGUAGUGGCUUACCAAGGCUUUGACGGGUAGCCGGCCUGAGAGGGGGACCGGGCACAUUGGGACUGAGAUACGCCCCAGACUCCUACGGGAGGCAGCAGUGGGGAAUAUUGCGCAAUAGGCGGAAGCCUGAUGCAGCAACGCCGCGUGCGGGAUGACGGCCUUCGGGUUGUAAACCGCUUUCGCCUGUGACGAAGCGUGAGUGACGGUAAUGGGUAAAGAAGCACCGGCUAACUACGUG
rnacentral:rRNA from 1 species